GAUGCUUUGAGAGCAAACCUAUGCUGUCAUUAAAACAAAUUCCCUUAUCACAGGGUCCUGCAUUUGACAGCCAAGUAACUCAGAACACUCAUUGUCUGGCACUUGCCUGUCACAUAAAGGGCCCUGACUCAGCGCAGGGAGGAGGGAGCAAAAGGAGGGUUGGGCGGGAAAUACAGACACGAUACGAGUUCCGCGUAUCAAGGAAAGUCUACAGCGUGUUGGGGAACUGGAUAGUGCAUCCAUUCAUGGAUUAGAUCUGGAACUGGAGGUGGCCCUGUAUUUUACCAAAUAUGAGGAGCUGCUGCUGCCUUUUCUACACACAGAGAGCGUGAGUGGUGUGUCCGGCACCUUCGAUUCGGACAGGAAUGUUGGCCAAGAUUCAUCCUUACCACCACCUGGCAAGAGCAGACGCAGACAAUCGUCAUUUGCUCCCAUUCCAGGUGGACGCUCCUCGUCUGUGCUCCACUCCCCACGGUGCGAGGGGUGCGAAGGGAUACGUUUAGUGGGGAGGCAAGUGAGAGAGGGUCACACGUAUGUGGCAGCGAUGUGGCCUUGUUCUCAGAUGAGGAGCCGGCCAACAUUCCCCAGCAGCAGCAGCAGGUCCCAACCCAGGCCAGAGGAGAUAAUGUGGCCCCCCAGGAACCUGAGAAAGAUAGGUUCCACAAAUCCCUAAUAAGGCAUCAUAAAGCCUUAAUGAAAAAAUUGGACACCAUGCAUGUCGACUUGUGUGUGGCAACUAAUGCCUAAAAUGCCAGUCAGGCACGGCAAGCUGCACAUGAGUCGGCCAUGCUAAGCCUCCAGCAAGCCAGUGAGACACGGAAAGCACAACACGAGGCUGCCAUGUUAAGCCUGCAAGAGGAGCGGUUAGAACUGAAAAGGCAAAAACUUGCAUUGUUGGCUCACCAAAAUUCGCUCCUAGAGCAACAAAUUGCCUUACAAGAAAAGGCACAAAAGGCAACUGAGCCAACAUGUUUUACCAGUAGAGCUAGUGGUGAGAGCACAGCUACCGCUCCUGCAGCUUCUGCUAGGCAGCUUCGGAAAAGGAAAUAAAUCUGCCACAUUAGGGAUCUGUGGAACCUAUCUUUUCUUAGGCCUAUGUUUUUUGUAAAUCUUUCUUUCUGUUUUUUAUAUUUGUGUUGCAGGUGGGGGAAUCACCUGCUCAAACCGUUUUGCUGUACAGAUUCACCCAUUACACAAGCAUAAACUGCAAUAAAAUCACAAAAAUCAAAUACAAUAAGGCAAACCAAUAAAAUAACUGAUUUGACAGAGUGGUUAGUGGUCAGAAUACCUGAUCCAAUGAUCUA